CAACAGGGCGCUGCUGUGCUGCCCGCUGCAGCUGGACGUCGGGAGGUGCACCUGCGUCGUCGUCUGGGAGAAGGCCACCUGUGCAAGAGGGGUGGCGCUCUAUACCAACCAAAAUUUGGCUCGGACAGAUGAUGAGUCCUGGAAGGAGCGGGAAGCUGUUGUUUUAUCGAUUGGUGCUAUAGCAAAGGGAUGCAUCACUGGGUUAUAUCCCCACCUUCCACAGAUAGGAAGAUCUGUCAAUCUGUCGUGACUUCUUACUUCAAAUUUCAGGAACAUGAGCACUUAAGUUGUGCCUUUU